AAUAAAAGGAAAAGGGAAAAAAAUAAAAAGGAGAAGGAAAAAAAAAAGGAGGAAAGGAAGGCGAAAAGGAGAGAUCCAACUUUCUCAAGACAUGUCCAGGCAAAGAACGGGAGAGUUGCGGAGUUGCAGCGGCGGAGAGAUUUUUCCCACAGAAGGGCGUAUUCAGAUUCCUAAAGAAGGCUUUGAAAGGGAUCCAGCAAGGCAAUCACAUGCAUGUGCAACUAUUUUUUCACUAGGCAAGAAUAUAUGGAAUGUGAAUGGAGUUUCAGCAUAGCUCUGCAAGUGUAUCUUCAGCCAUCAGAAUGCAAUCUUCUGUCUGUUCCUUUCAAGAACUGCGCCCCGAGCACAUAAUACCAUGAGAUGAAAAAAAUGUCCUAACAAAUGCUUUAAGACAUUACUCUGUAUCAUUGUUUCACAGCAGCUUUUUAAUACAGUUAUAAUGUUGUAUCUUCCAGUUAGCAGGAAAAGACAUAAUUUGUUUGAUGAUGCUAAUACUGUUACUAGCCUUUCAGAAACUGCAGAAAGGGCUUUAAACAUUUGUUUGGAGCAGCAACACCAUGUAAAGUAGUAUUGGGUUUGUAACUGAUAAAUGUUUUGUGCUGGGCUUGUCUUUCCCAGAUCUCAGUGUUUUCCUGUUUAAUGUAAGGUGGAAUUCAUACAAUACAGUGCUUUUACCUAUUGUUCCCAUUCUAAAUAUGUCGUAUGCAAAGUUUUCAGACAUCUCUUUCUGUCUCAAGAAACAUUAAUCCCUUCCCUUUUCCUUCCCCUUUCAUGUCUGUGUUCAUCAUUUUAGCUUAUGUGGAUGGUUUAUAUUUCAAUAAAGCAAUGAAAGUGGGUUCA